GAAGAGCUGCGCAUUGUGAUGAGCAUGUUCCUAAACGUGCGUAGGCCCGCCGGCCCCGCUAGGCUCCCCACGUGGAAUUUCUGCCACAAGUGUUGAAUGGCCGAAUAUUGAAUGAGACAAGGCAGAAAGUCAACGCUUGAAAGUUAACAAAUGCCGAACAUCUCUUUUAUGUCGAUUGCAAUUAAAUGGACAUUCGAAGCUUGAAGCCAGCCAUACAUGUACUCAGCGGAGGUGGUGGGUGUGUGUCGCUCUGCUUCUGUGAGCUUCUCAAGUGCAUCACACUGCGCAGCACCUUACCUGCACUGUUGCCUUUGGUAGCCAAGCGAGGGCAGCAAACACCUUAGAUUUCAAAUCCAACCCUGCUUUGCACACCAUCAGCUGCCACGACCACAAGAACAUAGAUGGCAAAAAGGUUCCCACCGGGCAAGGCCUCAGCCCCGGUGAUGGACCACAG
rnacentral:lncRNA from 1 species